rnacentral:rRNA from 1 species
ACGCUCGACACCUACGAGAGGCAGCAGUCGGGAAUAUUGCGCAAUGGAGGAAACUCUGACGCAGUGACGCCGCGUGCAGGAAGAAGGUUUUCGGAUUGUAAACUGCUUUAGACAGGGAAGAAAGAAAUGACAGUACCUGUAGAAUAAGCUCCGGCUAACUACGUGCCAGCAGCCGACGGUAAUCUGAGCGGGCUGGCAAGGC